rnacentral:rRNA from 1 species
GAUGAACGCUGGCGGCGUGCCUAAUACAUGCCAGUCGAGCGAACAGACGAGGAGCUUGCUCCUCUGACGUUAGCGGCGGACGGGUGAGUAACACGUGGAUAACCUACCUAUAAGACUGGGAUAACUUCGGGAAACCGGAGCUAAUACCGGAUAAUAUAUUGAACCGCAUGGUUCAAUAGUGAAAGACGGUUUUGCUGUCACUUAUAGAUGGAUCCGCGCCGCAUUAGCUAGUUGGUAAGGUAACGGCUUACCAAGGCAACGAUGCGUAGCCGACCUGAGAGGGUGAUCGGCCACACUGGAACUGAGACACGGUCCAGACUCCUACGGGAGGCAGCAGUAGGGAAUCUUCCGCAAUGGGCGAAAGCCUGACGGAGCAACGCCGCGUGAGUGAUGAAGGUCUUCGGAUCGUAAAACUCUGUUAUUAGGGAAGAACAAAUGUGUAAGUAACGAUGCACGUCUUGACGGUACCUAAGCAGAAAGCCACGGCUAACUACGU